GGCAGUGUGGUGUAGCGAUUUGAGCACUUGACUAUGACUCUGGAGACCAGGGUUAGAUUCCCAGCUCAGCCA